GUGCACGCUGGCGGUAGGCCUAACACAUGCAAGUCGAACGGCAGCACAGUAAGAGCUUGCUCUUACGGGUGGCGAGUGGCGGACGGGUGAGGAAUACAUCGGAAUCUACUUUUUCGUGGGGGAUAACGUAGGGAAACUUACGCUAAUACCGCAUACGACCUACGGGUGAAAGCAGGGGAUCUUCGGACCUUGCGCGAUUGAAUGAGCCGAUGUCGGGUUAGCUAGUUGGCGGGGUAAAGGCCCACCAAGGCGACGAUCCGUAGCUGGUCUGAGAGGAUGAUCAGCCACACUGGAACUGAGACACGGUCCAGACUCCUACGGGAGGCAGCAGUGGGGAAUAUUGGACAAUGGGCGCAAGCCUGAUCCAGCCAUACCGCGUGGGUGAAGAAGGCCUUCGGGUUGUAAAGCCCUUUUGUUGGGAAAGAAAAGCAGCAGGUUAAUACCCCGCUGUUCUGACGGUACCCAAAGAAUAAGCACCGGCUAACUUCGUG
rnacentral:rRNA from 1 species